UCAUGUCCUGGGCUGAAGGAGGUACUAAACCGCUGAGUCACCCGGGCUGCCCUCUAAGGGAACUCAGAUCCUUGGCUUCUUCUACAGCAUACAGAAUCGGCAAAUGUCCCAGGAAAGAUAAAGUUGCCGUCAGACUGGAAGUCAUCUCACUCCUUUGUGUUUCAUUGUUGGCACCUUGUUUAUGAUCCUGUCCUUUCAGAUCCUAAUUGCUUUAACAGAUGUGUCUGAUGUCUUCAAACAAACAGGCUUUCCAGAGUGAUACUCCUCUCUGUCAUUGAACAAGAGUAAAAGCGGACAGUGAUGUGGCCAAAAGCAAGCCAAGAAAUAUAUACCAGAAGAAAUAAAUACACCUGUGCAUAGAAAGGCAUGUAGAAAUGUGCAUAACAUGAUAUUUUUCUUAUAACAGCUUAUUAAAGUAUUAUU